UACUCUGUAAAGCGACAAUCGCAGCGUAAGUUCAACGCAUUUAUUUUUUUCCCUUCGCAAUGGAAGCGCUCUGUAUUGUGUUUGUGAGUUUCAAACUCGUGCAUUUUACAAAAUUUUCAUUCGAUUUCAAACUGGCAAACGCAAGGAACAAAAAAUUUAAAUCAAUAAUGUAUUUUUGUAGUUUUAUUUACUAAAAUAGUGUUUUUAACAGGGAACAUUCCAAAAAUAAAAAACAUUAAAUGGAAAACAGAAAAUAUAAAUUGACCUUAGAACCAAAAAGCAAAAAGCGAUGUAACUAAUGAGUGGUUUAAAAUAAUCACACACACUUACAAAUAAAGACAUACAUAUGAGAUUAAGCCAUAUAUCAUCAAUAGGAAUUUUAAAAAUAUUGUUUAUCUAUACUACUAUUAUAAAGAGGAAAGAUUUGUAUACAUGUUUGUAUUGAAUAAACCCGAAAACUACUGAGCCGAUUUCAAAAAUUUUUUCACCAUUGGAAAGCUACAUUCACCCGAAUAACAUAUGUAGGUUAUAUUUAUUGCUAGAAUCUCAACUUUCUGGAAAUAGUUCUCAGGUGAGGGUAUCAAAAAGACUCCGUGAUGGAGAAUCUUAAUCUGAAAUUAAAAAUCGCUUGCAAGUCAUUCUUUUCGCAUCGCAAUCGCUUGCCAGAAAGUCGUGUAACGAGCGCUCGUAGCUGCUUGCUUGCUUAACAAAAUUUCAAAACAUCCCAAGUGCGCACUUGAGAGUCGAGUAACGAGUGUGCAGCGGCUUGAAGAACAAAAUACAUAUUAGUAAUAUACAAGCUCGCACUAGGGCGUCGAACUCUGAGCGUUCCUAACGCUUUCCUACAUAACAUAUCGCUCAUUUAGACCCCUUUCACACGGGCAAUUUUUGUCGCGGCAAUUCUUAGUUUUAUAGGAGAGGGGGCGACGAGGAGAGGAGAAUCGCGCCGAGUCUGCUGUGUUCAGGCAACACGCUUUGUGUUCUUAUUCGUAACAGUUCGCUGCUACGUAACAGUGUUGCAUUUGCACACAUUUUAAAAUUAAUGUUUACAAUAUAUUUUAAAAUUUGAAUUUAAUCAUUUAAUUUUGUAUGUAAUUUGCAAAUACAUAUAGAAAUAUGCAUAAUAUAAUUAAAAUGUGCUAGAAAAUUGAGAAUAACGAUAAAAAUUAUUUAAUGAAAUAUUUUUUUGCUUGGAAACGAUGCGUACAAGAAGUUGAGAAAAUUAUAUGAAAGAGAAUGACAGAAAAACCCGAACAGAGUUGUCGAACAAUAAUUGCUCGUGUGAACGCAAGGGGCGACAGCAAAAGAGAAUCGCCCGAGAAUUGGCAACAAAAGUUGCCCGUGUGAAAGUGGACUUAUAUGAUAGUGUCACAACUCAAAAAAGUCGAUUUUUCAGGAGAGCGGUUUAGAGUUUUCAAGUGUCUCUUAUUUAGAAAAUAUAGAAAAAAAUAUAUAUAAAAAGGCAUAAGUGUAUUGAAUAAACUAGUGGCAUGUAAUAUAUUUAUUAAAAUGAUGAGCAUAUGUGGGCUAAAAAGAGUGUACUGCAGCUUUGCCGUAGGCAUAAACGUGACCCCUUUAGAAUUGUGUCGUUAUUUGUAAAAAAUAUAAAUAAGUUUCGCUGUCAUAAGUUAAAUGUGUCGUUAUUGCUGAAAAACAACAUGAAAAAUUUAAUUCCCUUUUCACAAAAAUCGUUGUAAUACAAAAUAUGUCGUUCUUUCUGAAAAGAAAACCAACUUCACCAUAUGACAAUAUGUGUUGUAACACAAAAUAUGUCUUUCUUUCUGAAAAAGAAGCAUGCCUAAUUCUGGCAUAACUGAGAUGUGUCGUUGUUGUGGUUAAAAAAUAUUGCUACAUAACAAAUUUAAUAACGGCACAUUCUUAUUUCAUGGUUUAUGGAUGUCGUCUGUCUUCUUUUUGUUUGUUUAAAUGAUUCAACAUUAAUCUUAUGGUAAUUUAUAGAAAUUCAUUUUUUUCUGUUAGAGAUUUGAUUUUAGAACUUCAUUAUCACUAUCGAGUUGUAUGUAUGUAUGUAAUUGGCGUAGGAACCUCUUAGGCUUCUCUUUCCAAGGACGCGAAUGCGCUGACUGUUUGUUUGAUGAAAGGAGAUUUUUCGUCUUGUCCUCAUUCACCACCAGACCCUUAUUCAGUCUGGAUAAAGCAGAACUAACGGCAUGGUUGUAGUUUCCAAUAAUAUUAAUAUCAUCGGCGUACGCCAGCAGCUGUACACUCUUAUAGACGAUUGUACCUUCUCUAUUUAGCUCUGCAGCUCGUAUUAUUUAUUCCAGCAUCAUUCCCGAUUCUGACUGAGCUUUUGGUGUUGCUCAACAUCUGUUUAAACAUCCGUAUUAGUUUUGGGGGAUACCAAACCGUGCAAGCGAUAACUUGAGUAAAAAUAGAUAUAUAUUAAUGAAACUUGGAACACAUGUUCCUUGGGACCGUAAGAGAAAUGGGCAAAAUCGGACCAUUGCCACGCCCACAAUAUUGCGAAACCUGAAAACACACAAAGUAUCAUAAUUAAGCCAUAAAUGAAGUUAUAAAAGUAAAAUUUGGAAUAAAGGAUCGUACCAGGAAGGGGCAUAUUUGGGUGUAAUUUUUUUGAGGAAGUGGGCGGGGCCCCGCCCCAAAUCGGUUAUUUGUAUAUAACUCGCAAACCAAUAAAGCUAUAUAAACCAACCUUUCUGCAGUCGGUUCUCUUACGUAUCCCAUCACACACCAUGAAAAUAGUUGAAAUUGGAUAAUAACCACGCCCACCUCCCAUACAAAGGUUAGGUUGAAAAUUGCUUAAAGUGAAUUGCACGAGGACCUCGGUGCUUCUAACCUAAUAUUAUGGUUUCCAACUUUCAAUGGACUUUAUACAAUAUAUAUGACGAAUAUGUGGGUCAAAUUGUGUUUUAUAUAAUAUUAAUAAAAUUAAAUAAAUAAAUUGCGAGAGUAUAAAAUGUUCGGUGACACCCGAACUUAGCCCUUCCUUACUUGUUAAAUAAGUAAAACGUAAAAUAAAAGUUUUCUAAAGCCAAAAUAUGGAAUUGAAGGGGGUGAUACAGUAAUACUUUAUCGCAAUGUCAAUUCGAAGCACUCAAUAGAAGCUACGUAAAUUUCAUAUUUCAAACCUUAUCCGGCGCUUUAAAGGUACGCAACCUAAUUGGUGUCACUUCUGGUAGCACCGUAGAACUUUCGAAGCGAUGGAAUAUGUGCUGCAAGCAAAUCCAGAACUAUGGAUGCGAACAGUUGCAGUAUUUUUGGACUUACCGGCACCUCAGUUGGCCGUGCCAUUAGCAGCUAAAACACAGAAAUUUAAGGGAGGAGUUUUUUGAUUCUUUUCAACUUGUAUUGAGGAAUCACAACGUUGUUGUAUCGCUUUACAAGGACAUGGAUUCACCGAAAUUAGUUCAAUGGAAAUACUACAGCAAGAGCAUGGAUGUUAAGACUAGAGCGUUGCCCGUGCUAGAUUCAGAAUUUCUGAAACAUAAGAAACCCUCCUCCCAGAAAUUGGAUGAAUCUAGUACUAGUGAAAUUAAUAAAAGAACAGAUCUUACAAAAACUCCUAAAGAAACCAAAAGAGUCGUCACAUAAUGUGCGUAGCUUACACUUCCAUGCCGCACGGGAUAUUUGACAGCCUUUGUCCGAUAGCAAAAAUUGUUCAACUAUUCAAUAUGUAUAUAGUGUAGUACGAUAAUACAUGUAUAAAGUAAAUAUAAUAAUAAAAACCUAAAUGGCAUGAUAUUUUCAAUAAAUAUGUAGUAAAAUUAAUAAUUUUGUUAUUAAAUUCUCAUUUCGGGUUUUUGUAGAACUAACCGAAAAUAGCGGGUAUAGUUUCAGGGCUGGAGGAUGGAGUCAUAUGUAGAAGUUCACGUAAGUGAGGAAAGUUUCUGACUGCCAUUCACUUGGGAGUGGCCAGGAACUAUUCUUCUCCACAUGAUUCAAGCAGCUCACGAC